UAUAUACUCCGUCCGGAAAUACUUGUCAUAGCAAUGAAUAAAAAUGGAUGUAUUUAGAACUAAAAUAUGUCUAGAUACAUCCAUUUCUUCGACAAGUAUUUUCGGACGGAGGGAGCACAAG
rfam:Triticum aestivum genome assembly, contig: Triticum_aestivum_CS42_TGACv1_scaffold_159310_2DL